CAUAUUUUAAUUCCUUUUAAUUGGUCACAAUAUAUUAACAACUGAUCUCUUCAUAUGGAGCGUUAAUUUGGUAUUAAACCUGUACACAAAGCAGGUUAUGCCGGUUAAUAUUGUGUGUGUGCCAGAGGACAUGGGGAGUCUGAGGGCCUGUCAUCCCCUCCCGGUGGCUGUCAGAAUAACCAGGACAUGGGGAGUCUGAGGGCCUGUCAUCCCCUCCCGGUGGCUGUCAGAAUAACCAGGACAUGGGGAGUCUGAGGGCCUGUCAUCCCCUCCCGGUGGCUGUCAGAAUAACCAGGACAUGGGGAGUCUGAGGAUCUGUUCUCCCCCAGGGCUGUCAGAAUAACCAGGACAUGGGGAGCCUGAGGGCCUGUCAGAAUAACCAAGACAUGGGGAGUCUGAGGACCUGUCUUCCCCGGGGGCUGUCAGAAUAACCAGGACAUGGGGAGCCUGAGGGCCUGUCAGAAUAACCAAGACAUGGGGAGUCUGAGGACCUGUCUUCCCCGGGGGCUGUCAGAAUAACCAAGACAUGGGGAGUCUGAGGACCUGUCUUCCCCGGGGGGCGGGGGCUGUCAGAAUAACCAGGACAUGGGGAGUCUGAGGGCCUAUCAGAAUAGCCAGGACAUGGGAGGCCUGAGGGCCUGUCAGAAUAACCAGGACGUGCGGAGACUGAGGGCCUGUCCUCCCCCAGGGUUGUCAGAAUAACCAGGACAUGGGAAGCCUGAGGGCCUGUCAGAAUAACCAGGACAUGGGGAGCCUGAGAACCUAUCAGAAUAACCAGGACAUGGGAUGCCUGAGGGCCUGUCAGAAUAACCAGGACGUGCGGAUACUGAGGGCCUGUCCUCCCCCAGGGUUGUCAGAAUAACCAGGACAUGGGAAGCCUGAGGGCCUGUCAGAAUAACCAGGACGUGCGGAGACUGAGGGCCUGUCAGAAUAACCAGGACGUGCGGAGACUGAGGGCCUGUCCUCCCCCAGGGCUUUCAGAAUAACCAGGACAUGGGGAGCCUGAGGGCCUGUCGUCCCCCAGACUGUCAGAAUAACCAGGACGUGGGGAGCCUGAGGGCCUGUCCUUCCCCAGGGCUGUCAGAAUAACCAGGACAAGGGGAGCCUGAGGGCCUGUCCUCCCCCAGGGUUGUCAGAAUAGCCAGGAUAUGGGGAACCUGAGGGCCUGUCCUCCCCCGGGGCUGUCAGGAUAACCAGGACAUAGGGAGCCUGAGCCUGUCCUCCCCUGGGGCUGUCAGAAUAACCAGGACAUGGGGAGUCUGAGGGUCUUUCCUCCCCCGGGGCAGUCAGAAUAACCAGGACAUGGGGAGCCUGAGGGCAUGUCCUCCCCCAGGGCUGUCAGAAUAACCAGGACAUGGGGAGCCUGAGGGUCUUUCCUCCCCCGGGGCUGUCAGAAUAACCAGGACAUGGGGAGACUGAGGGCCUGUCAGAAUAACAAGGACAUGGGGAGUCUGAGGGUCUGUCCUCCCCCAGGGCUGUCAGAAUAACCAAGACAUGGGGAGUCUUAGGGUCUGUCAGAAUAACCAGGACAUGGGAAGCCUGAGGGCCUCUCCUCCCCGUGAGCUGACAGAAUAACCAGGACAUGGAAAGGCUGAGGGUCUGUCCUCCCCCGGGGCUGUCAGAAUAAGCAGGACAUGAGGCGUCUGAGGGCCUGUCCUCCCCUGGGGCUGUCAGAAUAACCAGGACAUGGGAAGCCUGAGGGCCUGUCCUCCCCGUGGGCUGACAGAAUAACAAGGACAGGGGGAGCCUGGUGGUCUAUCAUUCUUGCACCCCCUAGACACCAUCCAUUACAACAAACACUUUUUUCCAUAGUUUUCAAUUAGUUGUGGCUAGCACUUGCCACCAGUCCACCCUUCUUACUGCCAUGGAAAGGAUGUGUCUGAUUGCCCCAGUAAACUAAAUCCCCAUUUUACAUGCACCCGAGCAAUCACCCCUUAGGGCAAGCUAUAAAGAGGUAAAAUACCUGUCUGUUCAUGGUUCAACCUGUGAUACGGUCCUGGGGUGUCUAAAGUGUGAUAGAAGCCGCCCCCUGCUUACAGGGUCUAUAGAGCUAUCGGCCACCUUCAAUGAUGAGGCGUAUGGUAUUCUCUGUAGGCCCAGCCUUUAAUCCAUAUGAGUAGAAUCAGUCUUAUCGUCUUAGUGAGCUGUCAUAUAAAAUGCUCCCAAGCAGGCAUUACCCACAUGGCUAGUUAUAUUUACGCUGUCUACAUUUACCCCUAUAAGUCCAAAGACUACUUGACAGAGUUAUGCCUUGCUAGGAAGGACCGCCAUCUGAUCCCCAAAGCAGCGUUAGAGUAGUGUGCAGCUGGUGAAGGCUUCCUAGUGUGUGAAGUUGAGUGAAUACCCCUUGGCCCAAGCUGCCUUAGAAUGAUGGGGGAAAAAUAAAAGUGGUGAAAAUACCAGAAUAGCUGUCAAUCCCUGUCUAAUAAGAUACGUCAGAGCUGGGCUGAGAGAGAGAAUGAUUAUAAUAAUCCUCUAUUUUGGAUAAAAUUAGGUCAGAUCAGCAAAACUCAACAGUUUCAUAUUAAAUAAACAGAAAUUGUACUUUCCAGACACAUAUCACGCUAGAUUGACAGAACCCAGGGGGUCACAGCCUCUUGUUCCAGAGAUGGCACAUACAGCCAGGGGCUAGUUAACGUUUCUUUUAAAGAGCUAUAGUAUAUUGUUAGAAAAGUUACUUCUUUGGGGAAUGUAGAUAAAUAAACCACACAGAUAUGUCUAUCUAGAAUAAUACAUAUACUGAUAAUGUGUUAAAUUAGGCUUCUCUUACAGUUUAAUCACAAACAUGGAAAUAUUGCAUUAAACCAUCCAAAUAAAAAAUAGUAUUCUAUGUUUUAAGAUAUAAAACAAACUUACAACAUGUGUGCAUUACUUUCUGUGUGUUCUGCAUUCCACCCUUGGUCCCUGAAUGUACCUCCUGUCCUUCCCGUGGUAAUGUUCUUCCACAGAAUGCUAUUAAAAUCUGUGACCCAAGUCUAAAACUUCUCUUCCAAUCAUGGAAAAAAGACAAGAGUAAGGAUAUGACUAAGGAGAGGUUAAUUAAACUUAUAUACACCUCUAGGGCCUUGACCUUCAGAACGUGGUUUCUGCAAUCAGAAUGAUUGACAUUGUCAUUAAAGGGACACUCCACUGCCCCCCCCAAAAAAAACAAACCCUAAAUAAAUCACUGUUUAGUAUACAUAACCUCAAUGAAACUACACAUGCAUUCUUUCAUUGGGGGUAAAUCUAAAAACAAGCAAGAUACAAAGAGGAGGAUGCGACACCUGGUGUUAAAAAGUGGAAUACUAAGGGAGUGAAAUGGUAAGACUUAACUUUUAAUAAAUAAAAUGAAAAAGUCCAAAAAGAACUAGACCAAAAACUAACCAUAAAACAAGACAAAUAGUACUAUAGACAAAAAUAAUAACAAAAGAUACAAAACAUCUAUUUAAAAACAGCUGGAGCUGUUCCACUAAUGACAAUGGUGUGAUAGGUACCACAGGUGAAUUC
rnacentral:lncRNA from 1 species